UACAGAGGUCCCAAGCGUUGUUCGGAUUCACUGGGCGUGAAGGGUGCGUAGGCGGUCGGGUAAGUCUGAUGUGAAAUCUCCGAGCUUAACUCGGAAAUGGCAUUGGAUACUAUUCGGCUAGAGGGUUUGAGGGGGGACUGGAAUACUUGGUGUAGCAGUGAAAUGCGUAGAUAUCAAGUGGAACACCAGUGGCGAAGGCGAGUCCCUGGAAAACUCCUGACACUGAGGCACGAAAGCUAGGGGAGCAAACAGG
rnacentral:rRNA from 1 species